rnacentral:tRNA from 1 species
GUUUUAAUAGUUUAAUAAAAACUUUGGUCUUGUAAAUCAAAAAUAAGAACUAAUUCUUUUAAAACU